rnacentral:rRNA from 1 species
UCUGUUUGAUCCUGGCUCAGGAUGAACGCUAGCGGCAGGCUUAACACAUGCAAGUCGAGGGGUAACAUUGUAGCUUGCUACAGAUGACGACCGGCGCACGGGUGCGUAACGCGUAUGAAACCUACCUAAUACAGGGAGAUAGCCCAGAGAAAUUUGGAUUAAUACCCCAUAGUACUGAUUAUUCGCAUGAAUUAUUAGUUAAAGAUUUAUCGGUAUUAGAUGGUCAUGCGUUCUAUUAGUUAGUUGGUAAGGUAACGGCUUACCAAGGCAGCGAUAGAUAGGGGCCCUGAGAGGGGGAUCCCCCACACUGGUACUGAGACACGGACCAGACUCCUACGGGAGGCAGCAGUGAGGAAUAUUGGACAAUGGAGGCAACUCUGAUCCAGCCAUGCCGCGUGAAGGAAGACUGCCCUAUGGGUUGUAAACUUCUUUUAUAGAGGAAGAAACGCAGAUACGUGUAUCUGUUUGACGGUACUCUACGAAUAAGGAUCGGCUAACUCCGUGCCAGCAGCCGCGGUAAUACGGAGGAUCCAAGCGUUAUCCGGAAUCAUUGGGUUUAAAGGGUCCGCAGGCGGUUGUUUAAGUCAGAGGUGAAAGUUUGCAGCUCAACUGUAAAAUUGCCUUUGAUACUGAAUAACUUGAGUUAUAAUGAAGUGGUUAGAAUAUGUAGUGUAGCGGUGAAAUGCAUAGAUAUUACAUAGAAUACCGAUUGCGAAGGCAGAUCACUAAUUAUAUACUGACGCUGAGGGACGAAAGCGUGGGGAGCGAACAGGAUUAGAUACCCUGGUAGUCCACGCCGUAAACGAUGGUUACUAGCUGUUUGGACUUCGGUCUGAGUGGCUAAGCGAAAGUGAUAAGUAACCCACCUGGGGAGUACGAUCGCAAGAUUGAAACUCAAAGGAAUUGACGGGGGCCCGCACAAGCGGUGGAGCAUGUGGUUUAAUU